rnacentral:rRNA from 1 species
ACGAGUGGCGGACGGGUGAGUAAUGUCUGGGAAACUGCCCGGUGGAGGGGGAUAACUACUGGAAACGGUAGCUAAUACCGUAUAACGUCGCAAGACCAAAGAGGGGGACCUUCGGGCCUCUUGCCACCGGAUGUGCCCAGAUGGGAUUAGCUUGUUGGUGAGGUAACGGCUCACCAAGGCGACGAUCCCUAGCUGGUCUGAGAGGAUGACCAGCCACACUGGAACUGAGACACGGUCCAGACUCCUACGGGAGGCAGCAG